rnacentral:lncRNA from 1 species
UGUCCUCACACACAGACACAGAGCUCCUAGACCUGAGGAAACUCUCUGGAGGUUAAGCCAAUAUUUUUUAUGAGAAAUAUGAAAUCGUUGUGGAAAAGAGAUCAUUGGCCUGUCAUGAUCUUCUACGUCCUCCUCAGAAGUGGAAGUCCUCGGAUACUUCUCAAGCGUUAAAAGAAGCAUUACUAGAAAUGAUGAAUGCUGCUCAGAGAUGAGUUCUUGAAACCUUGUGUAAACAUGGAUACAGGAGUGUGUCUAGCUGACCCAAUGAGUAAGGACAGUGAAGUCAGCCAAAAAAUGGACUGAAGACAUCAAUUUCUUGUCUUCAAACAAAAGCAGAUUCCUGAUGCUCAGUGCAGGUACCAGAAGAAAACUUGAAGGAGAGUGAGACAAGCCAUCUUUGAAGGAAUAAUGAGGUUUUGGUUAGUAGCCGUCUGAGAUUGGAAAGUGG